rnacentral:misc_RNA from 1 species
UCCCAGCACAUCCAUCCGACACCAUUCCAUUCUGCCAAUGGCUUUCUCAUUGAUUCCAUAAUUGAUAUUCAUAUUAUCAUGAUGUGCUUGAUUCAUGUGGCUUCUAAUAUGGAGAACACUCCUUGAUUUCCUAGCUAUGGAUUUACAAGGACAACCUUGCAUUAGAAACAAAGUCUGAUGCAAUAACCAAAGCUCACAACCAAUCUAAAACUCCUUUUUCAGAUAUAGGUUUUAUUUCUAUUAGCAAUACCAAAUUGUGCGAUCAAACUCCCACUAGAUUUGAAAUAGCAUAGACCUUUGAAUAAUUACCAAGAGAAUUCUGAUUUUCUAAUUCUUCAAGACAAUGAAACCUCUUAAUCACCUAAUAAAGAAGAAGCUAGCAAAAAAGUUACACAUUGAGUACUCAAAAUUGCACCAUAUGCUAAAAGGCCAAAGACAUAUACCAGAAACAACAAAUCCACUCAAAAUUCACAUGGACUAGAAUCAACGCGUAC